rnacentral:tRNA from 1 species
UUAAUUGAAACCAAAGUAGAGGUAUAUCACUGUUAAUGAUAUUAUUGAAGUUUCCUUCCAAUUAAA